rnacentral:rRNA from 1 species
ACGCUCGACACCUACGGGAUGCAGCAGUGGGGAAUAUUGCACAAUGGGGGAAACCCUGAUGCAGCGACGCCGCGUGGAGGAAGAAGGUCUUCGGAUUGUAAACUCCUGUUGUUGGGGAAAAAGAGGAUGGUACCCAACAAGGAAGUGACGGCUAACUACGUGCCAGCAGCCGCGGUAAUCUGAGCGGGCUGGCAAGGC